rnacentral:ncRNA from 1 species
CUCAUUGAGACCGGCUGAGGGAUCAGGCCCAAAGACGCCGGGGCAACCACCGAACCGAUCGGAAAGGUGCCACAUCCUACGGUGUUCCCUUGGAACGCCGGCAGAUGAG